AUUGAACGCUGGCGGCAUGCUUUACACAUGCCAGUCGAACGGUAACAGGCCGCCAGGUGCUGACGAGUGGCGAACGGGUGAGUAAUGCAUCGGAACGUGCCCAGUCGUGGGGGAUAACUACUCGAAAGAGUAGCUAAUACCGCAUACGAUCUAUGGAUGAAAGCGGGGGACCGUAAGGCCUCGCGCGAUUGGAGCGGCCGAUGUCAGAUUAGGUAGUUGGUGGGGUAAAGGCUCACCAAGCCAACGAUCUGUAGCUGGUCUGAGAGGACGACCAGCCACACUGGGACUGAGACACGGCCCAGACUCCUACGGGAGGCAGCAGUGGGGAAUUUUGGACAAUGGGCGCAAGCCUGAUCCAGCAAUGCCGCGUGCAGGAAGAAGGCCUUCGGGUUGUAAACUGCUUUUGUACGGAACGAAACGGCUCUGGUUAAUACCCGGGGCUAAUGACGGUACCGUAAGAAUAAGCACCGGCUAACUACGUG
rnacentral:rRNA from 1 species